AUUGAACGCUGGCGGCAUGCUUUACACAUGCAAGUCGAACGGCAGCGCGGGCUUCGGCCUGGCGGCGAGUGGCGAACGGGUGAGUAAUGCAUCGGAACGUGCCCAGGAGUGGGGGAUAGCCCGGCGAAAGCCGGAUUAAUACCGCAUACGACCUGAGGGUGAAAGCGGGGGACGGAAAGGCCUCUCGCUAUUGGAGCGGCCGAUGGCGGAUUAGCUAGUUGGUGGGGUAAAGGCCUACCAAGGCGACGAUGCGUAGCUGGUCUGAGAGGACGACCAGCCACACUGGGACUGAGACACGGCCCAGACUCCUACGGGAGGCAGCAGUGGGGAAUUUUGGACAAUGGGGGCAACCCUGAUCCAGCCAUGCCGCGUGCGGGAAGAAGGCCUUCGGGUUGUAAACCGCUUUUGUUCGGGAAGAAAUCCUCUGCGCUAAUACCCCGGGGGGAUGACGGUACCGGAAGAAUAAGCACCGGCUAACUACGUG
rnacentral:rRNA from 1 species